rnacentral:rRNA from 1 species
GAGUUUGAUCGUGGCUCAGAUUGAACGCUGGCGGCAGGCCUAACACAUGCAAGUCGAGCGGUAGAGAGAAGCUUGCUUCUCUUGAGAGCGGCGGACGGGUGAGUAAUGCCUAGGAAUCUGCCUGGUAGUGGGGGAUAACGCUCGGAAACGGACGCUAAUACCGCAUACGUCCUACGGGAGAAAGCAGGGGACCUUCGGGCCUUGCGCUAUCAGAUGAGCCUAGGUCGGAUUAGCUAGUUGGUGAGGUAAUGGCUCACCAAGGCGACGAUCCGUAACUGGUCUGAGAGGAUGAUCAGUCACGCUGGAACUGAGACACGGUCCAGACUCCUACGGAGGCAGCAGUGGGGAAUAUUGGACAAUGGGCGAAAGCCUGAUCCAGCCAUGCCGCGUGUGUGAAGAAGGUCUUCGGAUUGUAAAGCACUUUAAGUUGGGAGGAAGGGCAGUAAAUUAAUACUUUGCUGUUUUGACGUUACCGACAGAAUAAGCACCGGCUAACUCUGUGCCAGCA